rnacentral:lncRNA from 1 species
AUGAAAACAAAAUAAAAUCUUAUCAUUUAUCAUCUUCUACUUCCUUUUAAUCUCCUCACCCAGUGUAGUUGGCACUUUAGUACUACUUUUGUAUUUUUGUUACUAGCUUAGUCUCUCCCAUCCUCUUGUUUGCCUUGUGUCAUAAGCAUGCAUUGUAUCUUCUGUGUUAGUUUAUAAUGAGUUAAUACCAAAGCUUGAGGGAUUGCUACUUUCUAAAGUUUUAAAAAAUAUUCUGCUAUGGAGUGAUUAGCUUUUUUUGUUUUUGUUUUUUGUGUUUUCUUUUUUUUACUUAAAAUUUUUUUUAUUUUUAAUUUUUUUUAUUUUAUUAUUUUUUAAAAUCACAUCUAUUUCUUGCUUUGAAUUUAACCUCAAACUUAAUUUAGAAAGAAUUGAAAGUAAGGGAAGCAGAAGUAAUAAUAUUUACUUUAUUCUGCUCUUCUCACCUCUCCAUCCCAGAGAAGAAGAGGAAGAAAGAUUCAGUGGCUUGAACUGCUAGUGAGACAGUAGCCUUCCAGUUGUAAGACCUGUCUGGAUAGUUCUUGUUCCCAGCAAAUGAGUCAAUAGCAGAAGGGUAUUUCUUGGAACGCUAUGGUAACUUUUCCAUGAAGCCACCAUUCUGAGCAAGGCUUAGUUGUUACCUAUCCUUGCAUUUACUUGAAAUUAACACAUAUAACCUCAUCAUGGCUCUACCACUUCCAUCUCUUUGUUGAACUUGCCUGCUGGUCUUGGUGGUUUUUAAUUUAUUUGUUAUGGAUAAUUUAUCCAGUACCAUCUUAACUAUCAAAGUUAAAAAAUGAUAUAUUGAAAAGCUAUAUUAGCAGUGUUUUCAGAUUGUGGAUUAUGCCCAAUAUUUAAAAAAAUAGAGUAAAAUAAAAUAAACUAGACAAAUUAAAAUAGACUAUUUAUUGUAUAGUAAAUGUAAGUAUUGUUUUGUGAAACUUUUGUUUCAGUUAUAUGUGCAUAUGUGUACAUGUAGUGGGUUUUUGUGUAAAGAAUAUUUAUUAAUUGUGGUAAGAAAGGUUUGAGAUCUGUUGCUUUAAACUAGAGCACACAGUAGUAGAAGGUACUACUCAAAAGAGUCCUAAAAAUCUAGGAAAUAAUACUUUUGGGGCUAAGGGAAAUUAUAUAUGGGCAUAGGUGGGCAAAUCACCUGCUUUUCUUCUAUCAUAAUGCUCUGGAAUUUCAUUAGUUUCCAAUGCUCUUUUUAUUAAGAAAAAUAGUCAUUCCCAUUUAUCAUCUAGGUCUAAUGGACCCGUUUUAUUUUUCUAUAAUUUUAAGUUAUUUUAUGAAUAAUUUGCAGAUGUAAGAAUAA